ensembl:lncRNA
GUUCCAUUUCGGUGUGUCAAAGCCUGCUGUGCGCAUGCUGCCGCACUGGGGCGGCUGUGACACACUAAAUGGAACGGGUCCUCACAUAAUUAAUCCCGCCUGUGUUUGCCUCGCUAUGACGCGUCAAAACGUUAUUAACUAUAAAACAAUAGCUUCGUUUCCUUGCUGGUGCUUCCGCAAUGAAACCACGGUGGUCUUUGUGCGUGCGGUUAUGCGUUAUUCUAUGCGUUGUACCGGCACGCCAACUAGACAGCGUUAGCUACGCAGACGCGAGGCAGCAUUGACGUUGGCUUUACUUGGAGUCCCGCUUCUGCUCACCUGAAAUAAUAUGUGGCCUGUGAAAGGGAAGUUUGGUGUCUCCUGCUGGUUGCCCGCGCGACCGGCUCCGGAUGAGCGGAUGACUGAAUAAAUCAGCGGAUCCUCACUGACCGUGGAAAAUAAUUUGUAAACUGAGAGCUUUGACCUCUGAGGCUAGUAAUAUUUCUGUAGUCAUGGUAACAUCAAUGGAAAAAUCUUCAUGCGUAUUCAAAUGUAUCCUCUUGUGCAUUUUCUAGAUGAAUAUGGAGUUGUGCAAAAACAUCCAUCGACAGAAGCCUCUGUGCUCUUUGCACCCUCAAACAAAUGAUUUGGUGGAAAAGCUCAAUGGUACAAUUCAAUGGUAAAAAUUAUGGGUGUAACGCUUCAUUUUAACGAUUCGAAUCGCGAUUCAUGGUUUUCGAUUCAUGGACGAUCUGGGUUAAUUUAGAACGAUUCGAUUGAGUGACUUGAAAUCGAUUCAGUAACUUUACUGGACAGUGCAGGCAAAGUUUCUGAGAUCCCUGUUGUUUCUUGUAAGGAAAUCAGGUUUAAAUUAAUUAUGGAUAUUAUAAACAAGCAAACAACAAUUAAUGGCAAAUGUAUUAACCUUUUAUUUGAAUCAAGUGCCAUUUUUAAUGUAAACAUUACACAUUGUUUGCAUCAAUUCACAGAACCCCGGAUUUUCAACCACAUUGUCGGGUCGCAUGUCUUUACAGAUAAACUUUGCAAUUGUUACUGUGAUGUUGAGUUUGGUGCUGGCGAGGCCUGAGGCGUCUGCAGAGCUGGAGUUACCUUCUGCUGCUGCAGCGGUGACGCUGCUAGAGGUCCUGACUGUCGGCGUUGUUUAAUCCCACGGCGCCUUAGUAGAUGGCCGGAAAGAUUCGUCGUGUUUCCGUAGUUUUUUAAUUUGUCUUCUACAUAUUCUACAAACAGCGACCGACUUAUUUAGAACACCUCUGUGUUUACAAAAGCCAAAAUGUUUCCACGCGCUGAAUCGAUUAAGUUGGUUUGUAAAUGUCUCGCUGGCAGUCGUCUCCUCCACGCUGAGUUUUGUUGUUGUUCAGAGUUUCGCGCGGCUGCCGCUGCGGACUGAUGACGUCACAGACAGGCAGACUGAAUCCAGUAACGUUUAACGCGUCUAAAGUGCUAAAAAACAAACAAACAAACACUCAUCCACACAGUUUUUGUGCUUACAUCCAAUGUGCUCCAAGUAUCGAUACAAAUCGAUUAUGUUUUAGAUUAGAUUCAACUUUAUUGUCACUGCACAGGGUACAAGUACUGAGGCAACGAAAUGCAGUUUAACAUCCAACCAGAAGUGCGAAAUAGUGCAAAAAAAGUGCAGAGUAUGUGCAUA